GAUGAACGCUGGCGGCGUGCCUAAUACAUGCCAGUCGAACGAACAGACGAGUUGCUUGCUCCUCUGACGUUAGCGGCGGACGGGAGAGGAAAACGAGGAUACCCUACCUAUAGGACUGGGAUAACUUCGGGAAACCGGAACUAAUACCGGAUACUAUCUUGAACCGCAUGGUUCAAUAGUGAAAGACGGUUUUGCUGUACCUUAUAGAUGGAUCCGCGCCGCUUUAGCUGGUUGGUAAGGUAACGGCUUCCCAAGGCAACGAUGCGUAGGCGACCCGAGAAGGGGAUGGGGCCCAGUGGAGCUGAGCCACGCUCCAGAGUCCGAGAGGAGGCAGAGGUAGGGAAGCGUGCGCGAUGGGGGAAAGCCUGACCGAGCAGCGCCGCGUGAGUGAUGAAGGGCUGCGGAUGGGAAGACGCUGUUAUGGGUGAAGAACAAAUUUGGAAGGAGCUAUGCACGUCGUGACGGUACCUAAACAGGAAGCAACGGCUAACUACGUG
rnacentral:rRNA from 1 species